GAUCAUUACCGAGUGAGGGCCCUCUGGGUCCAACCUCCCACCCGUGUCUAUUGUACCUUGUUGCUUCGGCGGGCCCGCCGUUUCGACGGCCGCCGGGGAGGCCUCGCGCCCCCGGGCCCGCGCCCGCCGAAGACCCCAACAUGAACGCUGUUCUGAAAGUAUGCAGUCUGAGUUUGAUUACCAUAAUCAGUUAAAACUUUCAACAACGGAUCUCUUGGUUCCGGCAUCGAUGAAGAACGCAGCGAAAUGCGAUAAGUAAUGUGAAUUGCAGAAUUCAGUGAAUCAUCGAGUCUUUGAACGCACAUUGCGCCCCCUGGUAUUCCGGGGGGCAUGCCUGUCCGAGCGUCAUUGCUGCCCUCAAGCACGGCUUGUGUGUUGGGCCCCCGUCCCCGGUACCCCCCGGGGACGGGCCCGAAAGGCAGCGGCGGCACCGCGUCCGGUCCUCGAGCGUAUGGGGCUUUGUCACCCGCUCUGUAGGCCUGGCCGGCGCCAGCCGACACCCCAACUUUAUCUUCUAAGGUUGACCUCGGAUCAGGUAGGGAUACCCGCUGAACUUAAGCAUAUCAAUAAGCGGA
rnacentral:misc_RNA from 1 species